UUUUUUUUUUUUUUUUUUUUUUUUUUUUUUUUGCAGGGAGAGGUGAUGUAAAUGCUGGCGGUUCUCAGCAUGCCUUUCAGUUCACUGUGGAUUCAUGAUCCACAGGAAAAUAAAAAAAAAAUGGAGCCAUGGAGCCCAAGCAGAGCUGCACAAAUAGGUGACCAAAAGGCUGGGAGACUCAAAAAAAGAAGUGCUAAAGUGCAUUAGCCACAUUCCUUUAAGCAGACUCCACUUACAGGCACACACACACACACACACACACAUAAACACAAAAAUCCACACACACUCGCAGAUACCCAACAUUCGCAACACUCCCAAACACACAGCCUGGCAGCUCCUGAGGCUGAAUGGUUCUGCAGAAAGCUCCAGCUGGGAGACAGCAAAUCUGGGUAACACAGGUGGGCUGUACCUAAAAAUCACAGUGGGGAAAGUUUAAAAAAGACUCACCUGUACAGCAUCUAGGCAGGCCUGAGGAAUCCUGUGGAUCAUUUUGCAUCUUUAAGGGUUACACAGUUUAUUCCUGGGGCUGUGCUUGAUUUUUUUCUGGCUGGCUCCCGUCUGCCUCUCCUAGGAUCAUGGGACUAUCUCAUGGAUUCCACAAAGAAGACAGACUAGAGCCCACUGCCGAUCCAACUCCAGGAAGAUCUCCUCCACCAAACUUCAGAGACUUGUUGCUAGGCAAUGGUGACAUUCAUUGUGAUGCUAGCCAGAGCUCACAAUCAGGCCUGGUGCCAUGAGGCUAGCCAUGCACAUUUAUGAGACAGGCUCUCAGAGCUAUCAGUCUGCCUAAGCAGAGGAAAAGGGUACAGGCAGAGCUGGUCUGGUACCUGGAAAAAGGCUGCCUCUGAAAACCCACUACAGGACCCGAAAAGUCUUGACCCCAGGGCCUGUUAGGCCCAACUCCAUGGUUGUGUCCUGAUGGAAGAGGAGGCAUUUCGAGACUGUGAGGUAGACGCUGGAAACUGGUCUUCUGACUUCAUUCCCAAAAGAAGCUGUGUGCAAGAAUUGGGUCCCAUGGGCACUGGAAUUUAGUCUAGCAUGUUGAGAAAUCUUAUACUGAUAGAAUCAUACCUGAGACUCCAGAGAAAGGUGUCAAUGAAAGAUACAUGGGCUCCAGACCUCAGCUACCACCCUUCAUCCUGGGCCUCACCAGGGCUCUCUGGGAAAGGCAGAAACCACGACAAAGUCAAGUCCAAGAUAUAGCAAUGUUCUCACACCUCCUGACUGGUCUCUCAGCAGUGCAGAUGCAAUUGAGACAGUGUCCCAGAGGCUGUCACUGGCAGUGGCACACCUGAAAUGGGUGUCCAGUAGUGCUGUGAGGGGCACUGUGGAUUGCCCAUGAAAACAAAGAAAAAUCAAGGCUCACCUUAGGGAAUGAGCUGCCUUGUGCUGGAAUCCAAGCAUUAUUCAAUGACUCCUGUCAGAGGACCCAAAAGCCUCCAGCAAAGUGCAAACAAUCUCAGCUCCUGCAAUGAGACAACGACCCACAACCUGUAGCACAGCCAGCCUCUCCGAAGUCUUUCUUGCUCUCUGAAAUCCCUGGCAGCUAAAUAAUCUGUAGCAAGAGGCAGUCCCAUCCAUCAACAGCCCAAUGAAAGAGCCCAACCACAAUGAAAAGUCUCUGUAGAUGAAAUGAAACAGGCUGGAUUACAAGGAAAAAGCCAGACAGGGCGGCAUGCUUCUCUUCCUACAAGAAUCAUGCACCCCUUCGACAGAAGUGAAAUAACAAGAACUUCCUUUUGGUGGCUGUAACAGUAAUUUGUGGUUUUAAAGUAUCAAAGCUUCCCAGUCUUUAAAAUAUAACAAUGUUUAGAAGGAAACACUCAUGCAAUGGAUUUUCAUGAGAGUUGUUCUCCGUGAACUGGGAACGGUUUAGUGUGGAAGUCUUUAAGCCAGACUUAGGAAAUCCUAGGCUGAGGAAGAACUUGGAAGUUAGCAAAAGAAGAUGCAAGUGUGAAGGCCACAUCCUAGCCAGCAUCAAUCCAUUCCACUCCUGUUUGGCUCCCGGUAUGAAAGAGCUCAUAUCGGGAGUUCACCAGGAUGGCCCCAAUUUGCACUCCAAAUAUUCCAUACACAUUGGAGUAUUCCUGCCUGAACACUGGGACAUGGUAUGGACUGCUUGUGCAAUUCAGAGAAGUUGGGGAUGGAGUUGGAAGCACCUUCUGUGUCAUCAGUCUUCAUUUUCUUUUGUGGGUGAACUUGUGGGACCCCAUCCAACUCUCACCAGAUUGUAUCCUCACACCUAUCUUCCCUUAUUGCUGCUCACAUUCUAUGUCACAGGAUUAAAUCCCAAGAUGAUGGUGGAGUGCCCCCUCAUGACUGUAAAAUUGUGGGAUCCCAUUCACUCCUCACCAGAUGGUAUCCUCACCUUUAUGUGACCUAUUUGCUGCUCACACUCUAUGUCACAGGAUGAAAUGCCAAGAUGAUGAAGUAGUGCCCGCUCAUGAUGUAAAGCACCUGCUCAACAGGGAACAGAAUUCAAGGAUCACGGGAUGAUCUCUUGGAUUCCACAGAGAAGAGAGAUGAGAGUCCAGUCCCGAUGCACCACCAUGGAGGUCUCCUUCUCUGCCAAGCCACUGAGACUUGUCUGUAGGCAACAGUGACAUUAAUUGUGACACUAGCCAGAGCUCACAAUCAGGCCUGCUGCCCUGAGUCUGGGGCAUGAGCAUUCAUGAACCAGGCUUGGACACCCAGCUGUCAUAGCUGUCAGCCUGCCAAAGAAGAAAAAAUGGUACAGACAGAGUUAGCCUGGUAUCGAAAAAAAUGUUGCUGGCAAAAACUUACUGUGGGUUCCUAAAUGACUCAAACCCAGCGCCCCUUUGAGAUGACUCUGGUCAUGUCCCACUGGAAGAGGAGGUGUUUUGAGACUGUAAGGUGGUCGCUGGAACCUGCUUUUCUGACUUCUUUCCUGAAAUAGGCUGUGUGCAAGAAUUGGGUCCCAUGGGGAUUGGAAUAUAGGCUGGCAUGUUGUUGAGGGUGA